UAGUCAUAUGCUUGUCUCAAAGAUUAAGCCAUGCAUGUCUAAGUAUAAAUAGUAUACAGUGAAACUGCGAAUGGCUCAUUAAAACAGUUAUAGUUUAUUUGAUAAUGAACACUAUAUGGAUAACCGUGGUAAUUCUAGGGCUAAUACAUGCUAUAAACCUGACUUUCGGAAGGGUUGUAUUUAUUAGAUAUUAAGCCAAUAGUGGCAACACUAUUGCGGUGAAUUAUAGUAACUGAUCGAAUCUCAGCAAUGAGAUAAAUCAUUCAAGUUUCUGCUCUAUCAGCUUUCGAUGGUAGUGUAUUGGACUACCAUGGCAGUCACGGGUAACGGAGAAUUAGGGUUCGGUUCCGGAGAGGGAGCCUGAAAAACGGCUACCACAUCUAAGGAAGGCAGCAGGCGCGUAAAUUACCCAAUCCUGAUUCAGGGAGGUAGUGACAAGAAAUAACAACCCGGGGACCUUCUGGUCUUACGGGAUUGCAAUGAGGACAAUUUAAAUCACUUAGCGAGGAACAAUUGGAGGGCAAGUCUGGUGCCAGCAGCCGCGGUAAUUCCAGCUCCAAUAGCGUAUAUUAAAGUUGUUGCAGUUAAAAAGCUCGUAGUUGAACUUCUGGCAGUGGCUGGGUGUGGCCUCGGUCAGCCCCGUCACUGUCAUCCGUCUGCAAACCUUGCGCGGCCUUCAGUGGUCGGCAUGGGGAGUAGACAUUUUACUUUGAAAAAAUUAGAGUGUUUCAAGCAGGCAAUUGCCAGAAUACUUUAGCAUGGAAUAAUGGAAUAGGACUCUAGUCCAUUUGGUUGGUUAUUGGAAUGGAGUAAUGAUUAAUAGGGACAGUUGGGGGCAUUAGUAUUUAAUUGUCAGAGGUGAAAUUCCAGGAUUUAUUAAAGACUAACUUAUGCGAAAGCAUUUGCCAAGGAUGUUUUCAUUAAUCAAGAACGAAAGUUAGGGGAUCAAAGACGAUCAGAUACCGUCCUAGUCUUAACUAUAAACGAUACCGACUCGGGAUUGUAAAGGUACCUUCGACCUUUGCAGCACCGUAUGAGAAAUCAAAGUCUUUGGGUUCUGGGGGGAGUAUGGUCGCAAGGCUGAAACUUAAAGGAAUUGACGGAAGGACACCACCAGGAGUGGAGCCUGCGGCUUAAAUUUGACUCGCCACG
rnacentral:rRNA from 1 species